rnacentral:tRNA from 1 species
GGGCGGAUAGCUCAGCGGUAGAGCACCUGCCUUACACGCAGGGGGUCACAGGUUCGAAACCUGUUCCGCCCA